AUAAUGAUACACCCGUAUGACACGGUUCACCCAUCAGAAUGGGAAAGGUGAAAGUCCUGUGG
rfam:Clostridiales bacterium 41_12_two_minus Ley3_66761_scaffold_3615, whole genome shotgun sequence.